CAAACUGUAGUCUUGUAGGCUACUUCUAUGCAAGAAUACCCCUUUGCAUUUUUUGGGGGGGUUACUAUUUAUUUUUGGUGUGGGAAUUUGAAUUUUUCCUGUCUCUUUUUUGGUGUGAGCAGGCUGUUAUUCCAAGGAUGCUCAGUGUGUUUUCAGGGAGAAGGAGACAAUGGGUAGGGUGAGCAUGCAGUGCCUGCUUGUUGGGCUCUCAACAGAAGCAAAUACCUCAAGGAGGUUGGCACAGGCUACUCCUAUUUGCAGGGCCCUGAAAAUGGUAAAGAACUCUAAGAAGAUCUGCAAGGUGACCAGAGCAUUUGGCAGUAGCAGCAGCAGGAUUCAUGAGUUCCUAUGGGUUGAGAGCAACAAACACUUGUGUUCAAUUGCAAUGCUCUCCUUUGUGGUGAUUGGAACCACAGGUGGUGCCUGUUCAGGGACCCUAGUGGGAGUGGACCAUGACCGUCUCUAGCUUCUGUGAUAACUGUGGUUGUUUGCCUCCACCACCAAUAUACCAUGUAUGAGGUGAUCCAUCUUACUUAGCCCACAUAGGAGGUGCUGCAUAGCAUGUUACUAGCUGUAGGAUCCUGGAGGUGACAGAGAUCUGGCAUGUGGGUACUGCCCUGAACAUUCAGCAUUGGCAGCAGCAGGGCUGUUAUGUUCCCAAUGGUGCACUUGCACCAAUAGUUGAUUUGGUCACAAUGCCUUCCUCUGUGUUUCCCUUGAGGUGAAUGGGACUGCAAGUGGUGCCUGUUCAUUAACCCCUAGUAGUGUCAGGCUCCUGCCACCUCUGGAGCAAUAGAUAACUGUGACAGUUUGCCCCUGCCACCCGUAAAUCAUGCAAGAAACACCUGGUCCUGUUUAGCCCCCACAGGAUGUGCUGAGCAAGGUGCUCUUAGUGCAAGUUCCUAGGAAGGGGCAGUGAUCAAGCAUCUGGGUCCCUCCCAGAACAUUUGGCAGUGGCAGCUGCAGUGUGUGUGUGUGCUCUCAGGGAUCAAAAGCAAUCUCAGGUUGUGUUCUGUUGUAGUGUCCUUCUCUGCAAUGCCCUCUAAAGUGGUUGGGGCUGCAAGUGAUUUUUGUUCAGAUAUCCCUAGCUGUGGUUGGCCACUCCCACUUCUGGAGUCAGGGAUAAUUGUGGUUUGCACCCACCACCUGCAGGUCUGGUCUACCAGGGGCUAGCAAGCAUCUUCCCGUUGCUGGAGAAACCAGGUCUACAGUGGGCUAGAAAGCAACUUCUGGUCAUGAGCGGCCGCUCCUGAGAGGCACAAUCUAAGGCUGGUAGUGUGGCUCCCUGUGGGGUGGGCUGGCCAGAGCACUGUGGAGUGGUGCUUGUUUACCACAGUCUGGGGCGGGGCAAUGUGGAUCAGUGCAUGGCUACCCAUGGUUCAGGGCUGGGCCUGUAGUGCUGCAAAGCAGCUGGAGGCUUCUCAUAGGAUGGGGCAAAGCAGCCCUGAGCAAUGCAGAGAGGAUAGGCCGGGCUUCUCCCGGGUUGGGGGGAGGCCGGAGCAAGGCUUUUAAGCUUCGCACAGUGCAGGGUGCUGCACUGGGGAUGCUCUGCCCUCUGUGAUGGAGGGGGCAAGAGCACACAUGCUGGGGUGCAAGGAGUUUUCUAUGGUAGUGGUCACCCCCUUCUCGUCUCCCCUACCCAACAAUGGUGCCUUAUCUCUCCUGUGGGUCUGGACCUUUUCCCAGGUUCCCUCUACCAUGGCUUUCCACUCCCCAGCCCUUAGUGUACCACUUCCCCCACUAACAGAGCACCUCUCGCUAGUGCCUUGGGCUGUGUCCACACCACCAACCCCAGCCCUCUCCUAGGGACUGACCUCUGGAGUCUAGAGUCUCAGUGCCCAGCCCCCACCUGAGCUUUUCAGGCUGUGGUGUCUGCACCAGUGGUUCAGAUGAUCUGUGCUUUUUUCACUCUGCUUUUCAGUUCUCAGACCUGCUGCUGCACUUUCCUUGAUAUCUUGGAGCUGAUUUUUCCAUUGGUUAGGUGGCUUCCCAGUGUGUAGGUUCCCUUUCUCCUUCACAGCUCCCUCUCAGGAAUGCUUGUCCCAUCCUGAUUCCUUUGGUCUCUCUCUCUCUCUUUUUCUUUUGUUCUACCCAGUUAUGUCAAGAGUUUUUGCCCUUUUUGGAAGUUUAAGUUCUUUUGUCAACAUUCAGUUGAUGACCUGUGCAAGUUGUUUUAAUGUAGAUGUGUUUUUUUAAUGUGUUUUUGGGAGAGGGUGGGCAUGUCCUCUUGUUCUUCUGCCAUCUUGCCUUCUCCCUCCAUACAUAUUUUUUUAAUUCAGUUUCAGAAGCAUUUAGCCACUACAUAUGACUAAAAAUAAAAUAUAUAUAUGUGCUUUGAACAGUCAAGUUUGACUAUGAGAUAUUUUUUUAAAAAAUCGUAUUCCCUGAUUUAAUGCAUUUUAUUUAAUUUCUUUGUAGUCAUCUGGUAGACAAUUAUGAAAUUUGGAAUUGUUUCAUUUUAUUUUUAAUAAUAGUUCAUUUUAUAACAUUGGAAUUUAUUAUACACCUAUUUAAUCCUUACAAUGACUUUUAUGUGAAGUACAGUUUUACAAUAAAUUGUAAUGACGUUUUUGUUGAUGACAGUGACACUAAUAAAGAUUCCAAAUCUCACCCAAUGUAACAGAUCAAAUAUAUUUUGGAGGAUGGAUUCAAACAUAUUUAUAUUUCAUUCCAAAUGCUUAGAUAUUUCCAAAACAUUAUAUGCUCAAUUCAUGUCUUAUAUGGAGUGAUUAUUCAAUAAUUUUCAAUAAAAGUGAACCUUUUAAAGAUUCUGACUGUAGCGUUUGAACCUACAUUUUUAAAGUUAUUGUGAUUUGAAACUUUAUUGGUUAAUUGAAACCUGGAGAAAUAGAAAUAUGAAAGAAAGUUUAGAAACCUCUUGAUGUAAAAGAAUUUAAAAAUUAAUUUGAUAGAAAUAUUGAGUAGAUUUAUCAUAGCAAUGUAUUCUGAUCAGCCAAUUUUUUUCCACAAGACAGUGCAAAUGAUACCCUUUAUUUUGUUAUGUUGAAUCAUAUAUUGGUAAAGUGUCAUUGAAAAGAAUUUUAAGGUUAGAAAUGGAAGAACUAUAUUUCCAUCAGAAUGGACUCCCUGAUUUCAUGAUGAUGAGCUCCCAGAGUACCAGUACGAUGUAGCAACUACGGACAUUGUCAUAGUAAACAUCAGAAACAGUUUAGUCAUCAGAAUGGUAGAAUAAUAGGCAGAUACAGUAUUGACCAAUUGAUCUUGAUAUCCCAGGACAAAAACUACAUAGAUUUAUUAAAGUGUUAAGCUAGAAAAUUUCCUCCCCUAUUUUUGGUCAACCAAAAAAUUUUAAAACAAAAUAAAUAAGAUGAAAAACAGCAAAACCUUUAGUCAUUCCAAAAAUUUGUGGUCCCUACUAAAUUUCUUAAUUUUGAGUCAGAUCUUACACAUGCAUACCCUUGAAUGAUGGGGAAUUAUCCUUGAACAAUGACUUUACAUAUUCAGCAAAAAUUUAUAUUAUAAAUCUCAUUUGAAUUCAUUCAGGGUACCAAGUAUUUAGUACUUACCAAGUAUGUAGUACUUAUGAUGAAGCUAAGAGCACCAGGAAAAGGAAAAUGGCUAUUAUUUCAGUAAUCAAUCAUCAAAACAAAUAUGGCAGCUUAGGAUCCAAAUUGCUACUUGGAUAAAUUGAAUUUGGUCUAUUUUAAUCUCUUAGUGAAUCCAGAAGUACGAUAAAUACAAACUAUGAUUAUUUUUUCAGUUUCUAAAUGCAUAGUUCGAAUGGGUAUAUAAAGCCACUGGCAGAAUCCUCCUAUUAGCUCUCUGACAAACAUAACAAUCUAGCUCAUCUUACCUACCAACAUAAUUAACCAAAAUAAAUAUUUUGGGAAUUCUCUGGUAGUCUAGAAGUUCAUCACUGAUGCAUCCUGUAUUCAAUUCCUGGUCUGGGAACUGAAAUUCCAUAUCAAACCACUGCAUGUCACAGCCAAAAAAAAAAAAAAAGAAAAAAAGAAAGAAAGAAAAAGAAAAAAAGAGAAAAAACAUUAUCAAAGAAAUUGAGAAAUGCAAAAACUGUAAACUUUUAUCACAUUGACACAAAUCUGAUUUAUUAUAAACAAAUAAUGACUGUUUACAGUGGUGGUUAGAAAUGUGGUUUCUGAAAAAAAAUUUGAAACAAAAUUACAGUUCUAGCAUCUUGUCUGUAGCAGAUGAUUUGAAAUUUUUAAACAAAGUACAUAGUACCAACAAGGAUAGCAGUAUAUCUUCCACAUUUGGCCCAAGGGUCCAUAAUAUUUCUGGAUUAGUGGCUUAUUUACACCAGAGAGUGCUUGAGCAUCUCAUCAUCCCAUAGAUCAUCACUCAUAUCCAACACUUGAGACAUCAUGCCAAUAUAAUAUGGUAACCUUUAAAAAUUGUAUAAUGUUAUUGAAGAAACAUUAGUACUAAAUUCUGAGUGAAAAAUUCUGCCAAAAGUGAGGGGUUUGCAUUUCAUAGUAAGUUGGAAUGUUGUGAUAAUGCAGUGUGUUAGAAUAUGGCCUCCACAGGGAAAGGCAAAUUGCUUAAUUUGAAUCACUUAUCCAGAGAACGUUGCAUAGUUUUAAAUUUUGUAGCAAUGCCUAAUUCUAAUCACCUUAACGUAUUACCUAUAAGGCUACUAGAUUUGAAUAGCAAAACUGGAAAGAAUGGCUAUAUGACCUGUACUAACUUAUAUAACACACUGAUACACAAAGCAUCAGCCAUUGACAAGUUCUGCUGGAAACAGAACAGUUGAUUUUGGUGCAAGUUGAUGAGUUUUACUCUUCUUUCAACACAGAGUUCUGACUUAUUAUUCAAUCAUCAUUGAGAUUAAAACAAGGGCAUGGAAUAAUAAUUAAUUAUGUUAUCUAACUCUCCAUUACAAAUUACAUGCUAUCUGAUUUACCAAGCCAGAAAAGAAUGUGGGCAACAUCGUUUCAUUUUCUAGUGUAUAUGGCUUGACCCAGAAGACAUGCAGCAGCGACAUGAAAGUUACAUGAAAGAGUGACCCAGUUACACCAUCAGUUCCUCUUGUCAUUCAUAUCAAUGUAUUUACCAUAAUUCAUAACUAUAAAUUGAUGAGGAUCAUCCUAAGCCUAAUCUACUCAGGAAGAAUAAUGAGUCUAGUUUAUAGAGCAUGUUGCAUGAUCAAAAUAUUCACAUUUUCAUACUACAUAUUCUAAAGGAAAGAGCAAUUUUAAAAAUAAAACAAAGCAGUAUAUAUAUGAUUAACUUUGUCUAGAAGCAUAUAUGGCCUUAAGUACAUAUCUGUGCUGAUUCAUGAUCUGCUAUUAAUCACUUGUUUAUUUGGUCAGGGAUUUGUAGGAAUAAAAUUAUAAAAUAAAGGACUAGAAUAGAUGAUGAAAAUACCUAAGCACUCUCGAUUAUCUGACUAAGAUCUGCUACCUUGGUGAAUGUAAGUUGACUUAUUUUCCCAACCAACACAGUAUUCACAUAAUUGUUGUAUAAAGAAAGAAGGCACAGCAUUGGAAAUUAAGUUGCAUGUGCAAAAAGUGAUAAUUUUUCUCACCAAGCUUUUCACUAUUGAGUAUCCUACUGACAUGUAAUAGUGACUCCGAACAAAUAUAUUGGUGUCAAGUUUAUGAUGUUGGAUGUAUGCUAUUAUAGAAAUGGAAUUGGUUUACCAUAGUGGAAUGGAAUAUUGAUUUAACCUUCUUUGUCAUCUAUGCUCUUCUAGGACCAUGAAUUGGAAACUUAUUGAAAGCUUUUUUCAAUCAUCUUAUUCCAUCCACCAUUGCUUCUGACUGUGGAACAUUUUCUGAUAUUGAAGUAAAAAGAUUAUUGAACAAACUCAAGGUUAUAGAAUAUGGGUUUUCCUCCCCCCUCAUGAUCAGAAAUAGCUAAACAAAAAUAACGGUCCUCAGACCUAUGAAGAUUCCAUUUUAUGUUCCACAUUGGAGAUACUACCUGAUGUGUAUAGGAUGCUGUCCUACAGAAUGGAGUCUAUGCCAUUAGCUGGUACACUCUAUAAGUCCUAUUACCACUAUAGCCAAUACACUGAAUUCAGGAAACAAGGAGUAGAUGUGGAAAUAAUGCUACAUACUACUUAUGCCUUAUGAAAUUAAAAGUUUUCUUUCCAUCACUGGGACUUUGUCCUCUGCAUUUUCUAAAACUUGGUAACCUAUGGAGCAAAGUUUUUAUUACACAGGUUAAUAGAUGUAUCCAUCAAAGUAAAAUUUGAGUUUGCUUUCUGGCAUUUGAUAUUUUUCAUGCCACAGAUGAAUCAGUCAAAAUGUGUGGUUAAUAUGUUAGAUGAGAUGACUGAUCUUGAUUAGCAACAGAAACUAUAAUUAUAUGCACAGUGAAGCUUAACAGAAUUUUUGUAGGAGAUUCUCUUGGUUUCUUCCUGCACUGUGUUAAAAGGAAUUGAUCUGAUCUUUAAGGUUUCUCUUUAAUUUAUUUCACUGAAUAAAAUAUUAAAAAUAAAUCUAUGCCUUAAACAAGGUAUUUUCCCAUUGUUAUAAUGCUAUGGGCUCUCUUUUGAGAAAGACAUAAUAUCUUUUUGAGAUCUGGAACUAUAUUGUUUUCAAAAAUCACAUAAAACCAUUCAAACCACAAAAACUAUUUUUGUAAUCAUAUAUAGUAUAUUACAAAAGAGGCCACAACACUUUGAAAAUCAUCUCAUAGGUAGAUGAAAUUCAUUUCUCUAAAUCUUGAUUGGAAACUGGCUUGCCACAUGCUUUGGGCAAUCAGAUACAGAAGGAGUCACAUUGUGAAGUUAUGCCAAAUUCUGAUCCCAGGUCACAAGGCUUUCCAUAGAUCCUUUAUCACUUUGAGUCCUAUGACCACCAUGUAAACAAGACAAGAAUAGCCUGCCUACGGGAGGAUGAGAGACAUGUGGAAAAGGCCCAAUUUGUCCUAACUAUCCUUUCAUCACAAAACAACCUCCCCAGACAAUUUAGGAGUAAGCCCAGAAGUAACUUGAAUGAAACUGAUGGAAUUCUGCCCAGCCCAUAAUAGAAUAGUGGAACUGCUGUCCUAAGACUCCUGAGUUAAAUACAUCGCUUUUCUUUAAGACACUAAGUUUUGAGGGGUGGUUUUUUUACACAGAAAAAGUUUACUGAUAUACCAUGUAUCAAUAUAUCAAUAUGGAAGAAAGAAGAUUGGCUUAAAUUGGGAAUCAAUGAGUCCUUUGUCUUAUAGAGCAACUUAUAAUAUGCAGAACAGUUAUUAUAACUGAGAUUUCAUGUUCUUUUAUCUUUUUAAAUAGGAACAAAUGUAAUUGUAUAGUUUGUAACUGUUUUCCAUCUCCAUUGAGUAAAAGCCCAGAUAAUGUUUUCUUAAAUUGGAAAACCAAAUAGAGGUGGGUUUAUGUCAUUUAUAAAUUACUCAAUUUAAUAAAGAGAAAAGUAUAAUAUGCUCUUAAAGCCUGGAAUGACUGAGGUAAACUUUUCUGAGAGUAUUAAUAAAAUGAUGUUUUGAAAGCACCUACCAUUUAUUUGUGAUUUAUUCUAAGGAAACUUCAUGUUACAGAAUUUGACA
rnacentral:lncRNA from 1 species